GCAUAUCAAUAAGCGGAGGAAAAGAAACCAACUGGGAUUGCCUCAGUAACGGCGAGUGAAGCGGCAGAAGCUCAAAUUUGAAAUCUGGCCCCUCUGGGGGUCCGAGUUGUAAUUUGCAGAGGACACUUCGGGUGCGGCCGCGGUCUAAGUCCCCUGGAACGGGGCGUCGGAGAGGGUGAGAAUCCCGUCUGGGACCGUGGACCUGCCCCGUGUGAAGUUCCUUCGACGAGUCGAGUUGUUUGGGAAUGCAGCUCUAAGUGGGUGGUAAAUUUCAUCUAAAGCUAAAUACUGGCGGGAGACCGAUAGCGCACAAGUAGAGUGAUCGAAAGGUUAAAAGCACCUUGAAAAGGGAGUUAAACAGCACGUGAAAUUGUUGAAAGGGAAGCGCUGGCAGCCAGACAGGAACCCGGGGGCUCAGCGGGCAUGCGUGCCCGUGCACUCCCCCGCGGUUCCGGCCAGCAUCAGUUUCGGCGGCCGGUCAAAGGCCCCGGGAAGGUAUCGUCCUCCGGGACGACUUACAGCCCGGGGUGCAAUGCGGCCAGUCGGGACUGAGGAACGCGCUCCGGCACGGAUGCUGGCGUAAUGGCUGUCAGCGGCCCGUCUUGAAACACGGACC
rnacentral:rRNA from 1 species